GACGAAGAGUGACAAUAAAGCUAUGCCAUUCUCCUUCCAUUGUAAGAAAAUCAUGAACCUAACCUAUGCUCACUAAAUCCGACUAUAAAACUCAGGUACAUUAUGUUUGAAGUGUAGUCAAAGCUGAAAUAUAGAUAAUAAAGUAGUGCAGGCUAGGUAGUGGUCUAGUCUCGGGUCGGUUCUUUAACUGUUGCUUACAUUUCACAAAAGAAAACUGCAAGCUUCUUAAAAUAAAACUAUCUCGACCAUGUACUGUGAGCUGAACAACUCUUGCUAUAAGGGAUACCUCAGUCAAAGCUGUAGCCCUGUAUCAUUUUAAGCAUUUCUGCUACAGUUUCUUUCUCUGGGAUUUUCGCAAUCGAAAGGAACGUGUACAGUCUGUGCGGCGCUCCGAGGGUUUGCAAGGAUUGACUGCGGAGUGGUCGUGAAAGUUGUCUGCAUUCGAGAGAUCCACGAACUGGACACUUUCCUGCAGCCCAGGAUAUCCGUAUCGAUGUGAUCCUUCAUUGGUCCACAAGUAACAGAGCGUGACCCGAGAGAAACUCUGAGACCUAACAG